CAUCUUGUGCUAUUUUAUGUUCUGAGAAGGAUUGAUUACCACAAAGAUAGAUCUAUAGAGAAUGUGAGUGGAAACUACACGAGCUGCUAAUGGGACAAGGCAUUUAAGAAUCAUCCAAGUUCUUUCUCUUCUUGCUGGCUGGAGCUAAGAAUUGAAGAACAAAUACCAUCAAAGAGAUUCAAUACAAAUGUCCAAUUUUGAGAUAAGGGAUGGAUAACCAUAGUGCAUGCCCUCAGACCUUUUAAUCUUUAUGAAACAUUUGAAGACCUCGGGAAAGGACAAUACCCCUGGUUCUAUACAGAUGCUGUCAUGAAUUCAUCUUAUAUCAGUUUCAUAAUCCAUGUAGUCAAAUACCAUUGAGGAUAGUUGAGUGGUCACUAUGUUGUAAUAUCAGACAAAGAUGACAGUGAAUCUGCAAAAGAAGAAAGCAUUCUGAGAACCACUGAUUCCAGAGCAGGUGAAGGAAAUUUGAAAAUAUAUGAAGAAAGAGACAAACAUUGGAGUUAUGCUGCCACCAACCAAGGAACAUCUGGGGCUACAAAAAGCUGGAAGAGGGAAGGAUGGACCUUUCUCUACAAGUUUCAGAAGGAGCACGGCCCAGUUCACACCUUGAUUUCAGAUUUCUAGCCUUCAGAACUGUGAGACAAUAUAUUUCUGUUGUUGAAAGCCACUCCAUUUGUGGUAUUUUGUUAUGGCCCUGGAAAAUUAAUACAAUAGAUAUUAAGGUGAGAAAAAUAGUUUCAUUGUCAAAAUAAUUUCUCCACCGCAAGUUCAUACUUUUAAAUGCAGCUAAAUAAAAAUGAAGAACAUCUCAGCGACUUUACUAUAUUAAUGGCUAUUUUGAUUCUCCUAGAGGAGAACUAUAACAUAAAAUAUUUUCAUUUCUUAAUUAGUUUUUGUUUGUUAGUUUUUGUUUUUUUAGAUACAGGGCAUUGUCUUGUUGCCCCAGAUGGAAGGUAAUGGUGCAGUCAUGUGCAAUCACACCUCACUGCAGCCUCAACUUUCUGGGAUCCAGUGAUCCUCCUGCCUCAGCCUCCCAUGUAGCUGGGUACACAGAUUUGCACCACAGCACCAGGCUAAUACAAAAAUAUUGUUAGUGGAACAAAACAUCUUCCAUACUGGUCAUGUCACAUAACUACUACUCAAUGGAAGCUAAUUUGGGAAAUGCAGAAUGUCAAAAUUAAAAUAAUUACCAUAAUACCUAGAAAAUUUAAAGCAGCUUCUUAUUUUCCUCCAGGCAAAG
rnacentral:lncRNA from 1 species